GUGUCUGUUCACAAUAACCCAGAGCCUAAAGCCUGCCACAGCUCUUCUCCAGAAUACUGUGGGUAGAUGGCUUCAUGGUAAUGGAAUCAAUGAGUUGAAAACUGAACUGGGGACUAAUUGACUCCAAAGCCUUUCUCACCAAGGGACUCUACUACUUCCAUGAGAAUCCAGAAUACAGACAGCAACUCCGUACUGGUUGGCUGAUUUGAAUUAGUUUGGAAUUAGAUGCCCUCUCCAUUUCCUUAAAGACUAGUGGAGACAGGAGGAAACCAAAGCAACAUCCACCCUGGGCCCAGUGGAUUCCCCUUUACAAGCCAUGGAUGCUUUGCGGUGAAGAGCAGAGGGUGGAGAGAGAUGGUGGAGCAGCCCUUUCAGGAGCUACUGAACCUGUGGGGAAGCCAGCCACCAUGUUAAGAGCUGCUCUAUGGAGGCCCAAAUGGCGAAGAAAUGAGGGGAGCUACUAGCAGAAAACCCAUGAGGAACUGAAGUCACCAACAAUCACAUAAGUGAACUUAUCCUUCAGCUCUAAAAUGCUACAGCCCUGACCAGCAGUUUGACUAUAACUUUAUGAGACCCCGACCAGAACCAUGCAGCCAAGCUACUCUCAUAUUCCUGACCCUUGAAAACUCUGAGAUAAUAAAUGUUUGUUGUCUAGAGCUGCAAAAUUUUUAGGAUAAUUAGCUAUGCAGCAAAGGACAUCAUAGAGAACAUUAAAUAAGUCGAUGAGAAAGCAAAUUACCCACCAAAAUUACUGUGUCUACAUGCCUUCCUAAAACAUGCUAUGUUUGAAAUCUCAGGUGAAUUUUGUAAAUGGUGUCUGAGUUCAUUGGUUUUCUUUUUAUUUCUUUUAUUCAUUUUCUUUCUUUUAUUCAAUACUGAACUAUCCUAUAAUCAUUAUGAUUUUCUUUCAUCCCCUUUUCACUUAGCUGUAAGCCUUUUUACUAAGAGGAUGUAUAUUUAGCCACAGCUUUAAACAUUUUUUCUUUUCAGUGGCUAAAAUAUCAGGAACAGAUAAUGGCAUGACCAAGAAGGAGAAAAUCAGGGGCACCUGGGUGGCUCAGUUGGUUAAGCAUCCAACUCUUGAUUUCAGCCCAGGUUAUGAUCUCAGGGUCGUGAGCUUGAG